UUUUUUUUUUUUAACAAUCUUAUUAACCCAGGGUGGGUGAACAGCAGUGAACCCCCUCCCCCGCCGGCUCACCCGCGAGUGUGCAGAGAUCUGAGCUGCUGCGGGGUCCACACCACGGACAGGCGAGCCCACCCACUGCCCCGGCCUCGGCGCCCAGGCCUGGUCAGACUGCUGGGAGGGUGGGUUCCACUCGGGUAGGCAGGGGCGGCUGAAAUCCCGUUUGGAGCUUUGUCAUCCCAGUUUCAGGAAGCCCACAGCUGAGCUGGUGCCAAGCACCGAAAGGCCGGUUGCACUGCACGGUCAGUGCCAGGGCUCGAGAUGCUGGCACAUCGGCCAUCAGGGCCAGGGGUCUAGGCCGUGCACUUGGCUCCAGAACGCACAGCUGGCAGCCCUCCAACCUCGACAGGCCUCCUCUGGAGGCCAAGGGCGCUUUGUCUGCUCCCCCAAAGGUGAAGGAUUCUCAGCCCAGUUCCUGGUUCUGGACUCCCCAGCACACGGCAGGAGGCUGGCACGGCCGCCUCCAGGUCAACCCAGAAGGAACUCGGGAGCAGGGAGCUCACUGAGGACAGGGCCUGCGUGGGGGUCACCUGGGGGGCCCUUCCCCAGGCUGGCACAGACCGGCCCUCCAUCAAUAUUUGCUGAUCCAAACUAAAUGGGAAGCCUCCCCUCUGCCAAAGGGAGCUGGGCCUCCCCACCCAGGGCCAGCUGCCUCGGGCCUUUCUGCCUCCCAGACCACACUCUGCUGACCUAGGGAAGCAGGCAUAGCCCGGCCCUGCAUGGGGAGGCGCGGCCUGGGCCUUGAGGUGGGUCAGAGAGUGGACACACAUCGUCCAACUUUCCAGGCCCCCAGCAUUCUCCUAAGGACGGGAGCAAUGCCACAGAGCAUCCAGUUUCCCAGGAGAAGUGGCCAGCGGCCCAUGCAAAUAUUUCUACAGAGGAAAAAGCAACUCCAGCCAGGGAUUCCUACCCCUGGAAGCCAAACCGAGACUCAUUUUAAAGAAAGCCUGAAAAACAAAUUGACCAUCAACGGCUUAAGAGUGAUCACUAGUUGAAAAGCUGUCACACACAAUUAACACAUCAGACCCUGGGGUUGGGGGGGGGGCACAAAAGGUGACAGGGCAAUGCUCCCGUGCACUAGGGCUGCGCACGUCUAGACCCUUAUUCGAGCCCCGUAACCAUCAGCAUCACCAGCUUCCCCAGUUUACAGAUGACCACGGAAGGCUCAGAGAGGUGAAGUGAUUCUUCCUAAGUCACACAGCUGGGAACCCUCCAUCUCCCAAGACAAGGGAGAAACAACAGACCCCCAAGCCUGGCACCUGUGCACCCCUUGAUCUGCUGCUGGUGACCUGUUCCACCCCCUCUGCACCGUGUCCUAGGCUCCCGACGUCAAGCUGGCUACUCGCAGGGCCCAGAACACCCCGAGUGCCGUCACUCCCUCCGCCUCCAGUGGCCUCCCAUCCUCCACGGGGAAUGGCUUUGCCUCUUUCAUGUCCCGGCUCAGGCCCCUUCCAGAGCUCUCAGCCUCCCUCGAUGGUCCCUGAAGGCAUCGCACGGCUCCCAGUCCCUUUGCCCGGCAUCCUCCAGGGGCUGAGCCCUCAUCUCUGUAUCCCGCUGCCUAGAACAGCGAACAGCCUGAGCAAGCCCCUCCCGCUCCCUGUGCCCGGGUCUCUGGCUGGGGAGGGACUUGGGCCAAACGACCCCCCCACCCUCCACCAAGAACCCUGGGAACUUGGGGCAGGGGCAGCCACUGAAAGGUUCUGUCCGUGGAGACGCGCAGAGGGGCCCCUGAUUCCUGUCCUCGGCCGUUUGAUGCCACAGCCCACCUGGACAGAAUGAAUAGCAGCUGCCUUUCCAGGUGUCCAGCAUGCCCAGGCACCAGGCUGGGCCCUUCCACGCGUUAUCUCAGUUAACCCCCCAACUUCCCAGAGGAGGAAACAGAGGCUUAGCCGUGGGAAGAAGGUUCCUAGCCACCGAGCACCAAGGCAGCAGCUGCUCCUCUGCCCGCCAGCCCCCUUCUCGUCCCUGCGGCCUCAGCAGACAGAAAGGGCGUCAAGUGCCACGUGAGCAAGGACCCACGAGAGCAUCCACAGUGAGCUCAGUCCACGCCUGUAAAUGCCACCACCGGGGUGGAAACAACGCAGACGUGCCCAGGCUCUGAGCUGACGGGGAUGCAGGUCUAAAAGGGACCCCCCAACACACACACCUGAAGGCAUCGUUACAGCCCAGCACAGCAGGAAGCUGCCACCUUGCUUCUUGAGGUCUAAAGAAUCCUUUUGCCAUACGCCCGCCCCAGCCCCUGUCACCCCACCUUCGAGCCAAUGGGCAUCGCAGAGAGGUCCUGGGUGCUGGGUGGCCCCUGUCCUCCCAAGACUGCUUCAGUCGGAGAGGCUUCUUCCUCGUGGGUCUGCCCCUGCCCCAGACUUCCAGGCUCUGUGCAGCCCCCAGAGCGGGGACCCUCUGGGACCCCGCUCAGAGCUGACCUUGGAAAUGGAAAAGGCCGCCCGGGCGUGAUGACGGGGUGUGCAGCUGAAGGGGGACAGUCACCGCUGUGGGCGGUUGCUGCCGACGGGAUCCACCCCCGAGCUGUGUGGUGGCCCCUGGGGAACUUGGAGACCAGCCACUCCCUGGCAUCGGGCAGAAGCUGAGGGCCUGUGGACCCGAUACUGAGCUCCCUGAGCGCCUCCUGUCUGCAGUGAUGAGGCAUCGUGCCCUCGGUGGGGGGGAUGGGGGCAUGGUGGGGAGGGAGGCAGGGGGUGGGGGAGCCAGAAACUUGUGCCCCCCACCCUGGCACCGCACCCCAAAGGCACUCAGACAACCCCUUCCCCCAGGCAGUGCCUGGCAGGGAUCCCUCCUCUGCUCACCCCGCAGUCACUCAGAGCAUCAGUGAUGGGCGAGCGCUGGCCAGCAAGAAGCCGGACAUUGACAUGUGCUUCCGUCCAGAACCNNNNNNNNNNNNNNNNNNNNNNNNNNNNCCCUGCACCCAGGCAGAGGGGGAACCUGCACCCAAAGGCUGGAAGGCAUAUGCUUCAGACUAAACCGAGCACCAGCAUCUCAGUUCCAGCCUUGGGUCCCUGAAGGUAGUCGCGAAGGGCAUUCUCUAUUCAAACAUGUUAAACGUGCCAAAAUCUAAAGAAACCCAUGAAUUUAUCUACAAUAAGGCCACAUGGGCAACGUGAACACGACUGCUUGGCUUGGGUCCUAAUUUAAGCCCACCUGGGCUGACAAGACCUCUUAUCAAAGGGUACCUGGGACAGGACAGGUGGGCCAGGUCCCAGACCUGUGGGCAGGUGUACAGAAGAUGCAGCGUCACUAAAUUACUUUGAAAAGGCAGUUUCCAUCGUGGCUCAGCGGUAAUGAACCCAACUAGUAUCCAUGAGGAUGCGGGUUCGAUUCCUGGGCUCACUCAGGGGGUUAAGGAUCCAGUGUUGCCAUGGGCUGUGGUUUAGGUUGCAGAUGCAGCUCAGAUCCCGCGUGGCUGUGGCUGUGGCUGUGACUGUGGUGCAGGCCAGCAGCUGGAGCUCUGAUUUGACCCCUAGCCUGGGGACUUCCAUAAGCCAUAGAUGCAGUCUUAAAAAAUAAAUAAAAAGGAGUUCCCAUCGUGGUGCAGCGGAAACAAACCCAACUAGUGUCCAUGAGGAGGCAGGUUCGAUUCCUGGCCUCGCUCAGUGGGUUAAGGAUCCGGUGUUGCCGCGAGCUGUGGUGAGGUCAGCGGCUGCAGCUCCAAUUCGACCCCCAGCCUGGGAACCUCCAUAUGCUAAAAAGCAAAAAUAAAAAAUACAUAAAGAAAGAAAGAAAGAAUAAAAACAUAAAUUACUUUGAAAAGGAGGGUGAAAUGGUCGUUACUUAAUGGAAACGCAGUCUCUCGCAGCCAUAGGAAGAGAGAAUGAAAAUAAAACAGUCGUGGAAGGAACGGUAGGACUGGCCGGGGAAGGGGAGAAAGAAUUCUGGGGCUGGUAACUUGGGGGGCUCGACCCUCAGCCAUUUCUUCCAGGCGGUGUGGCCAGUGGUUCUCCAGACCCUGAAAACAAGCACGCAGGGACCACCCUACCUCAGACGCCAGGGCCAGCUGGGCUCCCAGAGAAGUUGAAUCCACACUGUGGGCCCCAUCCCAGUUCUAGACCGCCUGGAAAAAUUCAAAGAUUUUCCCAAAGGCUCCGCCUCCCCCCCUGGACAUUAGACACACGCAGCCGCGCAGGGCAAGGUGUCAGUGACCCUGGACCCUUGGGAAAGGGGACAGCCGAGUCUCAGCAGCUCCCGGCCUCACCCUGGGAGCUUCAGCAACCUCUGUUUUCUGGAGAAGGAAAAGCAGCUGAGAUGUUCAGCACAUCUUGGCAGGCCUUGCCCACCUCCCAGCCUUUGUGGAAUGAGGUCAGGAGUAAGGAGAUAAACAAACUGAAAGUCACUGCUAAUGAGCAGAACGCACAGAAAUUUCCUUUUCCUAUAUACCGCCCCCAGCAAUCAGAACAAAAUGCCACGAUAACUACCUCUUAACCCACUGUGGAGCCACACCGCCAGCCCAAGGCCCUCCUUCCAAUACCCUUCCUUCCUUGGCAGAACAAGCCGGUGACAGAGGGUCAAGGUCAACCCACAGGGGCAGCCUGUACAGUGAGGUCACGCAGGAAGGGAGCCUGCGGGGCCAAGGCCGGGGCUUCAGGAAGGGCGCACCCAAGCUGGCGAGGUCCAUCUGCCCCAGGCCGAUGCCGCUGGCUUCCGUGACCAAACCUCUCCCUCUCCAGGGAAAAAGAUGCAGAGUGAGGUCUGGGGGUGCCGAAUAAGAGGACCAGACCCCCUCUCUCUGACGUUCUGUCUCACUUUCUGCGUGGGUCGAUGUGAAAACCUGUCUCCAUUUUUGGAUGCCACAGGCCAUCGUGAUGCGUCCGCGUGACACUCACGGCUCCUCAUCUUGGAGACCCGACAAUGACAGUUCUUGGACUGGCUGCCUGUUUUUGUAAAAAUAAAGAUUUAUUGACACUGCCACACCCACUCAGUACACACUGUCUGUGAACACUCUUGCCCUGCCGUGGCGGAGCUGAGUAGCUGCAAAUGAGAGGACGGGGGCCCACAGAGCCUCAAAUAGCUACCAACUGGCCUUUUAUCUUAGAGGAAGCCCUGCCUGAUCUAAAAAACUAUGGGAUGGAGUUCCCGUCGUGGCGCAGUGGUUAACGAAUCCGACUAGGAACCAUGAGGUUGCGGGUUCGGUCCCUGCCCUUGCUCAGUGGGUU
rnacentral:lncRNA from 1 species